rnacentral:ribozyme from 1 species
CCCUGGCUCAGCCGGCCACCUCAACGUGGUUCCAGGGUCCAGCACUCUUUGCCAGCGAGGAAGCUAAGCGCCCGCU